CAAUCAACGUAAGCGAGGUUAUUGGACAGAGGGCUCGAUGGCGCGUUUUUUGAAUGCGCGAUUUCUCGAGGGCUUUGAGGAUACUGCAUUGUGCGGCCUCUGUAGAUGAGGGGCACGAGAACGGCACGAGCCAGAGGGAACAAAAGGACAGAUGGCCCCCAGGUCUUUACAAUGAAUUAUGGAUAAGUUGGAGGAAAUUGGGACCAUCAAAUAUUUCCUGACGGAUAUCAAUGCUGAUGCUGAGAGAUUUGGAGGCGUGAACCAAUCGCCCCCGCCCCGAAAGAGAUUGCUGUUCUGUCAUUUGUGCACCAGUCCAUUGCACUAAAGGGCGGUCAAUACGAUCCGCGGUUCCAGGCAUCCACCCCAAAGACAUGUUCCUACUGUCACAGCUACUCAAAACCAUGAACAUCAAGGACGAUUUCUGCAUCUCACGGAUGACUUCAUUGCUGUGGUGUGUUGGAGAUAUGUAUGCUAUGGAAGUCCGGACGUUUUCAACCGGACGAACAAAUAAAGUGAUCCCUUUCUGU